GUCAAAGCAUUGAUGAAGACAUGCGGCGUUUGACGCGCGUCCCAGAGAUAGGAAUCCCGGGCUGAAAAUUCCUAACGCAGGCGCAAGCGGCCGUACCCCUUCGAAGCUGCAUGAUGGAACCCGGCACGUCCGGAAAGUAAGUGAUGCCGGCCUAAUCCCCGUUAUAGGAUCCCAGAGAACGCCUCGGCGUUGAAUUAGGGUGGAACCACGGGUCUGAACGUACAGCACUCGUCCCUUUG
rnacentral:sRNA from 1 species